rnacentral:rRNA from 1 species
UACGUAGGGUGCGAGCGUUAACCGGAAUUACUGGGCGUAAAGCGUGCGCAGGCGGUUUUGUAAGCCAGAUGUGAAAUCCCCGGGCUUAACCUGGGAAUGGCAUUUGGGACUGCAAGGCUGGAGUGUGGCAGAGGAGACUGGAAUUCCUGGUGUAGCAGUGAAAUGCGUAGAUAUCAGGAGGAAUACCGAUGGCGAAGGCAGGUCUCUGGGCUGACACUGACGCUCAUGCACGAAAGCGUGGGGAGCAAACAGG